UACGUAGGGGGCAAGCGUUGUCCGGAUUUAUUGGGCGUAAAGAGCGUGUAGGCGGCCACACAGGUCUGCUGUGAAAACUCGAGGCUCAACCUCGAGCUGUCGGUGGAAACCGUGUGGCUAGAGUCCGGAAGAGGAGAGUGGAAUUCCUGGUGUAGCGGUGAAAUGCGCAGAUAUCAGGAGGAACACCAAUGGCGAAGGCAGCUCACUGGGACGGUAUUGACGCUGAGACGCGAAAGCGUGGGGAGCAAACAGG
rnacentral:rRNA from 1 species